UUCCGGUUGAUCCUGCCAGAGGUUACUGCUAUCGAGGUUCGACUAAGCCAUGCGAGUCGAAUGUAGCAAUACAUGGCGUACUGCUCAGUAACACGUGGAUAACCUACCCUUGAGACGGGGAUAAACCCGGGAAACUGGGUAUAAUACCCGAUAGAUCUCGACUGCUGGAAUGCAUCGAGCUCUAAAGCUCCGGCGCUCAAGGAUGGGUCUGCGGCCUAUCAGGUAGUAGUGGGUGUAGCGUACCUACUAGCCUACGACGGGUACGGGUUGUGAGAGCAAGAGCCCGGAGAUGGAUUCUGAGACACGAAUCCAGGCCCUACGGGGUGCAGCAGGCGCGAAAACUUUACAAUGCUGGAAACAGCGAUAAGGGGACCUCGAGUGCCAGGUUACAAAUCUGGCUGUCGUGAUGCCUAAAAAGCAUUGCAUAGCAAGGGCCGGGCAAGACCGGUGCCAGCCGCCGCGGUAACACCGGCGGCUCGAGUGGUAACCGUUAUUAUUGGGUCUAAAGGGUCUGUAGCCGGCCGGAUAAGUCUCUUGGGAAAUCUGGCAGCUUAACUGUCAGGCUUUCAGGAGAUACUGUCUGGCUCGAGGCCGGGAGAGGUGAGAGGUACUUCAGGGGUAGGGGUGAAAUCUUGUAAUCCUUGAAGGACCACCAGUGGCGAAGGCGUCUCACCAGAACGGACCUGACGGCAAGGGACGAAAGCUAGGGGCACGAACCGGAUUAGAUACCCGGGUAGUCCUAGCCGUAAACGAUACUCGCUAGGUGUCGGCCACGGUGCGACCGUUGUCGGUGCCGUAGAGAAGCCGUGAAGCGAGCCACCUGGGAAGUACGGCCGCAAGGCUGAAACUUAAAGGAAUUGGCGGGA
rnacentral:rRNA from 1 species